rnacentral:lncRNA from 1 species
GUGGAGAGCCUUGGGUGGCCGCCCCUGUCAGGGUGGAGUGCUUGCCCUCGCCCUAUGACAGAUGGGUCCCACCUUUCAGGUGGUGGCUCCUAGAGUCUUCUAGAGUCUUCCUGAGUUGACGUUUCGGUCUUCUCUCUAUGUAAAUUUCUAACAUGUGGACCUACUUUUGUUUUUAUUCUAGUAACCCCCUACAGAAAUAGACAAUCACCAAAACUCAUGGAAUUUUGUUAGUGAUAACCCUAUUUCUUCUUAGUGCUUGCAAAUAGGUCCUUUUUCAUAUUAAGUUGACAGUUAAAAUUAGGAGUUAUCUACCGUCAACGAACUCCCCCACACUUAUCUUUUACUCAUCCUCAAGGAAAAAGGAUAGAUUAUCAUAACCUCAAACCAAGACAUUACCAGAUUCAUUCCAAGUCCUGUACUGCAGGAUUCAAAGUGUCUACCAUAAAACUUUGAGAGGUUGAGGAUGGAACAGUACAAAAUAGAGUUCUCUUUUCCUUUAGCCAUGUCUAUAAUAUUUUUGCAAAUAAAAACUUAGCUUACCCUUCUCCAUCAUGUAGCACACUCGAAUCACUCAUUAUAGGUAGUCUUUGUGGAACUCACCAAAGCAUAUAUCAUAUAUAUCCUACAUUCCUACUCUAUACAGGCUUAUAUGGAGUUAAAGGUAGUUCAAGGAAAUAGCAUACUUACCUUGCAUAUCUUGCUAAGUCAAAACUCAGAUCCAUGGAGGGGAAUAGCAUACUCGUAGAUCAAGAGUGCAUUUGUGUGGAAUAUAUAGUGGCUAAUCCUAAUUCUACAUUGCUCUUUUGAAAAUGUCUUUCUUUCUCUUUCAAAAAAUGGUCUUUGCACAGGAUGGUAUGGGCUAUCUUUUAUUCUUCUUUCUUUCUAGGACACUUGUCCUUUUUUCUUCUUUCUUUUCUUUUUGAAUACUUUUAUUUUGAAUAGCCUCAUACCUCCUUCUAUAACUAGAAAAUAUUGAGAAAGACUUUUUAAAGAACUUAGAGCAAUUAUUCCUACUAAGACUCUUUUUGUGUUUUCUCCUAGCAUAGGAGUAAAACAUUUUUAUGGAUGGAAAGGCAUGUUUGUGCGUAUUCCUAGUGUAGGAAUGGCAGGUAUAUGUGGGUGUACAUGAUCUUGAUCUUAGGAGCAUGAUAAUCCUCUCGACAUAGGUCAAUAAGGUUUGACAAAACUCAAUACAAAGCAAGUAGCCUAUGAGCUAGUUUAUAUCUAUCUUGCAUGGCUCUAGUAGGACAUUAAUUCUUGCUACAGAAGAGAAGUAUAGCUAAUCAUUUUAAGAUUUUUGACAAGUAAAAUUCUCCAAAUGACUAGACAACAGAAAUCAAGAUCUCAUAUUCAUACUAUCUCUCUUUCCACGACAACUUAAGUAAUAUGGGGUCCCUAUAUCAAGGUUCCCAACAGUAACAGGAAUUUCUAGGAAUUAUCAUGGUAUUAGUCUAUCUUGUGGUCAUGAAUAAAACAUCUUUUAAUUAUUUAUGCAUAGGGUGAUUUAACUAAAGAUAUUUUAUUUUGAAUCAAAACAGCAGCAAAAAUAACAAUUUAUAACUUAGAUAAAUCAUACCUGAUCAUGGUUCGAAGCGG